rnacentral:rRNA from 1 species
UACGUAGGUGGCAAGCGUUAUCCGGAAUUAUUGGGCGUAAAGCGCGCGCAGGUGGUUUCUUAAGUCUGAUGUGAAAGCCCACGGCUCAACCGUGGAGGGUCAUUGGAAACUGGGAGACUUGAGUGCAGAAGAGGAAAGUGGAAUUCCAGGUGUAGCGGUGAAAUGCGUAGAUAUCUGGAGGAACACCGGUGGCGAAGGCGGCAUCCUGGACCGGUAUUGACGCUGAGGCGCGAAAGCUAGGGGAGCAAACGGG